UUACCGAGUACGGGUCCCUAUCCCCUUCCCGGGGGGUGGGGGCCCAGACCUCCCACCCUUGUCGAUCGUACCGUGUUGCUUCGGCGGGCCCGCCAUGGUUGGCCGCCGGGGGGUGUUCGCGAACGCUGCCCCCGGGCCCGUGCCCGCCGGAGACUCCCUCGAAACGCUACAGUGGUCAGGAAUGCUGUCUGAGUGGUGAGACAAUUGAUCAGAAAACUUUCAACAAUGGAUCUCUUGGUUCCGGCAUCGAUGAAGAACGCAGCGAAAUGCGAUAAGUAAUGCGAAUUGCAGAAUUCCGUGAGUCAUCGAAUCUUUGAACGCACAUUGCGCCCCCCGGCUUCCCGGGGGGCAUGCCUGUCCGAGCGUCAUUGCCAUCCCCUCAAGCUCUGCUUGGCUUGUUGGGCCAGCGUCCGCCCGCGGCUCCGGUCGCGGGGGGAUGGGCCCGAAAGGCAGUGGCGGCUCCGGGAGACUUGGUCCUUUGGGCGGUGAUGCAUGGGUCUCUUCAUCCACCGUCCCGUUGGCCGCGCCCCCGGGAGUCUGUCGAAUGAUUGGUCUUCCCCUUUAGGUUGACCUCGGAUCAGGUAGGGAUACCCGCUGAACUUUAAGCAUAUCAA
rnacentral:rRNA from 1 species